AUAUAUAGAAAUACAUUUUUAAGAUAUUUGUAUACUGUGUUUGUAUAUAAAUUAUAUAUGAUCUAGAGAUUUAUGAUGUGACGAGCAGGUUUUAUUCAAAUAUUUAAAUUAAUCUUUAAUAGCAUUAUGUAAUAGUUAAUAUCUUUUAUGGGUAAUUACCCUUUUAUUGCUGGUUUGGCAGAUUAAGAUUUAUGAUGUUUUCAUAAUGUUUUCCGUCAAAAGAAAUUUAUAUUUAUGAAUUAGUUUUCAGCGGAAGGCUUUAGUAAAAAAUUCGAACCUUAGUAACCGUUUUCUUUUUGCCAAAAAGGUAGAUAUUUUUUUAUGUUAGAAGUUAUAACUUAAUUGGGCAUUGGGCAUCAAAAUAAACAUGUGAAUAUCUUGACUUGGUGUUUGUUGUCUACUUUAAGUGGUACUGAAUUUAUUAAAAUAAACGUUGUUUUCUACA
rnacentral:lncRNA from 1 species